UACGUAGGGACCAAGCGUUGUCCGGAAUCAUUGGGCGUAAAGAGCGUGUAGGCGGCUUGUUAAGUCUUGCGUGAAAUCUCGGGGCUCAACCCCGAGCGGUCGUGAGAAACUGGCAGGCUAGAGUGCGGGAGAGGAGAGUGGAAUUCCUGGUGUAGCGGUGAAAUGCGCAGAUAUCAGGAAGAACACCCGUGGCGAAGGCGGCUUCCUGGACUAAAACUGACACUGAGGCACGAAAGCGUGGGGAGCAAACAGG
rnacentral:rRNA from 1 species